UACGAAGGGGGCUAGCGUUGUUCGGAUUUACUGGGCGUAAAGGGCGCGUAGGCGGGCUGAUCAGUCAGGGGUGAAAUCCCAAGGCUCAACCUUGGAACUGCCUUUGAUACUGUCGGUCUUGAGUUCGAGAGAGGUAAGUGGAACUGCGAGUGUAGAGGUGAAAUUCGUAGAUAUUCGCAAGAACACCAGUGGCGAAGGCGGCUUACUGGCGUCGAAACUGA
rnacentral:rRNA from 1 species